AACGAACGCUGGCGGCAUGCCUAACACAUGCAAGUCGAACGAGAUCUUCGGGUCUAGUGGCGCACGGGUGCGUAACGCGUGGGAAUCUGCCCUUUGGUUCGGAAUAACAGUUGGAAACGACUGCUAAUACCGGAUGAUGACGAAAGUCCAAAGAUUUAUCGCCAGAGGAUGAGCCCGCGUAGGAUUAGCUAGUUGGUGUGGUAAAGGCGCACCAAGGCGACGAUCCUUAGCUGGUCUGAGAGGAUGAUCAGCCACACUGGGACUGGGUCACGGCCCAGACUCCUACGGGAGGCAGCAGUGGGGAAUAUUGGACAAUGGGCGAAAGCCUGAUCCAGCAAUGCCGCGUGAGUGAUGAAGGCCUUAGGGUUGUAAAGCUCUUUUACCCGGGAUGAUAAUGACAGUACCGGGAGAAUAAGCUCCGGCUAACUCCGUGCCAGCAGCCGCCGUAACAC
rnacentral:rRNA from 1 species